GGGUCAGUAGGUUGGUCGUGCCACCGGUACGUACUGGUCUCACUGAUUCCUCCUUCCUAAGAACCGUAAUGCCAUUAAUUUGGUGUUGCGGGGAAACAGGACUGUUACUUUGAAAAAAUUAGAGUGUUUAAAGCAAGCUAACGCUUGAAUACAUUAGCAUGGAAUAAUGAAAUAGGACGAUCGAUCCUAUUUUGUUGGUUUCUAGGAUUGACGUA
rnacentral:rRNA from 1 species